rnacentral:rRNA from 1 species
AUUGAACGCUGGCGGCAUGCCUUACACAUGCAAGUCGAACGGUAACAGGUCUUCGGAUGCUGACGAGUGGCGAACGGGUGAGUAAUACAUCGGAACGUGCCUAGUAGUGGGGGAUAACUACUCGAAAGAGUGGCUAAUACCGCAUGAGAUCUACGGAUGAAAGCAGGGGAUCGCAAGACCUUGUGCUACUAGAGCGGCCGAUGGCAGAUUAGGUAGUUGGUGGGAUAAAAGCUUACCAAGCCGACGAUCUGUAGCUGGUCUGAGAGGACGAUCAGCCACACUGGGACUGAGAAACGGCCCAGACUCCUACGGGAGGCAGCAGUGGGGAAUUUUGGACAAUGGGCGCAAGCCUGAUCCGGCAAUGCCGCGUGCGGGAUGAAGGCCUUCGGGUUGUAAACUGCUUUUGUACGGAACGAAAAGCCCCGGGUUAAUACCCUGGGGUCAUGACGGUACCGUAAGAAUAAGCACCGGCUAACUACGUGCCAGCCGCCGCCGUAA